rnacentral:lncRNA from 1 species
CACGGGAUAUUUUUAUAGCUUGAUGAAUCUAACACAUCUGUGUAAUCACACAGUUUCCAGAAAUCCAGAUGUUCCCCAGAGCACCUCUGGCUCCUGCGCUCUUGCAAACAUUUGCUGUAAACACCAAAGGCUGUUUGUUGGUUUUAAUGUUCUAGCUCAUCUUAUUACCCAGUGAAGGUGAAAGAUUGAAGCCAGAUAGUGUUGCCAGUAAAUGUUUUCAUCCCUAAUGCAUCUAUUUCUAGUGACUGAUUAGUAUGCAGUGGGGCCCACAGCCCGAUGCUGCCUAAAUGGCCCAUCGUGUUCUCUUGCUGUGGUGCAGAGAGGGAAAUCAGGCUGGGUGUGCAGAGUCCCUUCUGUUUUCUGGUCUGAGGUCUCCAGCCAAACAGAGGGCUCAGCUCCCUGAGAUGGCACAGGGAGAAACAAGGGGCCAGGACCAAGCCAUGUACCACUGGGUUCCUGAGACGACUCUAACAAAGCUAGUGCAGGUUAAGCAAUCCAGAGAGUGACCCCAUGUCCUCCCAGGAGCAAGUCUGCUGCUGCAGCCUUCAAGCAUGUGUUUGCCCCCUAAUAACGCUGGCAGUGGUGAGUGUCUUUAAUUGGGAUGUUCUGUAACGGGGGUUCAGGCUUGGGAUCUCUUGUAAAAUUCUUGGUGUGAAACAAAUAUCCAAAAAGGCUGGUUUCCAUCUCUCUUAAGGUGGAAAAGGGGCAUAAUGUUUUCUUUCUUUCUUUCUUUUUUCUUUUUAUAGCCAUACCUAUGGUGUAUGGAAGUUCCCAGGCUAGGUGUUGAAUCAGAGCUGCAGCUGCCACCUACACCACAGCCACAGCAACACCAGAUAUGAGCCAUAGUGCAGUGACCCACACUGCAGCUUGUGGCAACACUGGAUCCUUAACCCACUGGGUGAGGCCACUGGGUGAGGCCAGGGAUCAAACUUGCAUCCUCACAGCCACUAUAUUGGGUUCUUAACCCAUUGAGCCACAAGGGAAGCUCCAUGGGGGGCAUAAUCUUAACUCAUCCUCAUGACAACCCUGGAGAGUGUUGUUGUUAUUGUCAUUACCAUGUUUCGAUUGCCGGGUUUAAGCUGAUGAAAAUAAAAAGUAUAUAUAUAUGCUUUAAGGUCCA